rnacentral:rRNA from 1 species
AGAGGAAGUAAAAGUCGUAACAAGGUUUCCGUAGGUGAACCUGCGGAAGGAUCAUUAAUGAAACUUCAAAGUCGGCCAAAGGUUGUUGCUGGUGAUUAUUCACAUGUGCACGCCUUUGGUCGCAAAUCCACACACACCUGUGCAUCUAUGACUCGAGGUUGUAAUGACUGAGAGUAACUUUUAUACACUCUUGUAUGUAAUGGAAUGUCUUUUUGUGCUAUAAUGUACAAUAUAAACAACUUUCAACAACGGAUCUCUUGGCUCUCGCAUCGAUGAAGAACGCAGCGAAAUGCGAUAAGUAAUGUGAAUUGCAGAAUUCAGUGAAUCAUCGAAUCUUUGAACGCACCUUGCACCCUUUGGUAUUCCGAAGGGUACGCCCGUUUGAGUGUCAUUGUAAUCUCACUUCUACAACUUUAUUGUUGUUUGAAUGUGGACUUGGAUGUUGCCGUUUUAUCACGGCUCGUCUUAAAUGCCUGAGUGUACCCUGUUUUGCAGCGUAUCCAGUGUAAUAAACAUUUCACUAGAGUUGGUYGAAAGACCRCGUUGACUAUAUGGGCUCUAUGCUUCAAACCGUCUGCCAUGUGGACAAUUUCUUGACAAUUUGACCUCAAAUCGGGUGGGACUACCCGCUGAACUUAAGCAUAUCAAUAAGCGGAGGAAAAGAAACUAACAAGGAUUCCCCUAGUAACGGCGAGUGAAGAGGGAAAAGCUCAAAUUUUAAAUCYGGUGUCUUUGACUCCCGAGUUGUAAUCUAGAGAAGUGUUUUCCGUGUCGGACCGUGUACAAGUUCCCUGGAACGGGGCGUCAUAGAGGGUGAGAAUCCCGUAUAUGCCACGGACUACCGAUGCUCUGUGAUACACUCUCAACGAGUCGAGUUGUUUGGGAAUGCAGCUCAAAAUGGGUGGUAAAUUCCAUCUAAAGCUAAAUAUUGGCGAGAGACCGAUAGCGAACAAGUACCGUGAGGGAAAGAUGAAAAGCACUUUGGAAAGAGAGUGAAACAGUACGUGAAAUUGUUGAAAGGGAAGCGUUUGAAGUCAGUCGCAUCUGUUGGGGUUCAGCCUGGCUUUUGCCUGGUGUAUUUCCUUUCCGAUGGGUCAGCAUCAGUUUCGACCGAGGGAAAAAGACAUUUGGAAUGUGGCUGUCUUCGGGCAGUGUUAUAGCCUUGUGUUGUAUGUCUCGGUUGGGACUGAGGAUUGCAGCGCGCCAUAAAUGGCCGGGGGUCGCUCCUCUCGACACGCGCUUAGGAUGCUGGCAUAAUGGCUUUAAGCGACCCGUCUUG